rnacentral:rRNA from 1 species
GUAGGGAAUCUUCCGCAAUGGACGAAAGUCUGACGGAGCGACGCCGCGUGAGCGAAGAAGGCCUUCGGGUCGUAAAGCUCUGUUGUGAGGGACGAAGGAGCGCCGUUUGAAUAAGGCGGCGCGGUGACGGUACCUCACGAGAAAGCCCCGGCUAACUACGUGCCAGCAGCCGCGGUAAUACGUAGGGGGCGAGCGUUGUCCGGAAUUAUUGGGCGUAAAGCGCGCGCAGGCGGUCCUUUAAGUCUGAUGUGAAAGCCCACGGCUCAACCGUGGAGGGUCAUUGGAAACUGGGGGACUUGAGUGCAGGAGAGGAGAGCGGAAUUCCACGUGUAGCGGUGAAAUGCGUAGAGAUGUGGAGGAACACCAGUGGCGAAGGCGGCUCUCUGGCCUGUAACUGACGCUGAGGCGCGAAAGCGUGGGGAGCAAACAGGAUUAGAUACCCUUGUAGUCC